CAGAGGGUGCAAGCGUUAAUCGGAAUUAUUGGGCGUAAAGGGACGUUGUAGGUGGUUAUAUAAGUUAGAUGUGAAACCCUAGGGCGUCAACCUGGGACGGUGCAUUUAAUUACUGUAUGACUAGAGUAUGGUAGAGGAAAGGGGGAAGUUCCUGGUGUAGCAGUGAAAUAGCGUAGAGAUCAGGAGGAACAUCGGUGGCGAAGGCGGCCUUUCUGGACUAAUACUGACACUGAGGAGCGAGGCGUGGGGGAGGCAAACAGGAUU
rnacentral:rRNA from 1 species